CUUGGAUAGGCAGGUGCCACUUAACCAGGUCUCCUAAAACACCCUGUCCCUUUCCCAUCACGACUGUGCCUGGCUGGAGACCUAGACACUCAGAGACUCCAGACAACAUGACCCUGAUGGGUAGCGGUGCUGGGAUAUUGGGAGAAGGCAGCGGGACAGAGCUUCCGGGAUGGGGAGGAGGUGCCUUCUCUUUCGGGUCCCUGGGGAGUCACUGCCCACUCUGGGUCUCUGUUUCCUCAUCUGGAAAAUGAAGGGAUGCUGAGCCUGUAGUGCUGCCCUCACACGAUGGAAAUGAGGUUCAAGAAAAGAAAAUAAUUUGCUGGUGCUCAUGCCUGGUUCUUCCUCAGAGGGAUGGGGGGAGAACAAUGGCAACAGGAAACAGUACUCAGGCGGUCUUGUGAGGUAGCUGUGGUUUUCAUUGCUCUUUACAGAAGAGGAAACAGUCUCAGGGAGGCCCGGCUGCAUGAGUGGGUGACACACACAGGGAGUGUGGAGCUGGCCAGUGGUAUGAGCACUGUGCCAGGCGACUCAUGCCAGUUCCUAGGGAUCCAAGUGUGGGGUGGCUGGGGUGUAACUGGGGGAAGAGAGGAGAGCCUCACUGUCUCCGUCACUGGCACCUGGCAGGCGGGGAGCUUUAAGGUGGCCACCCAGGAGAGGAACCCCCAGAGAGCCCAGAUGAGGUUGCAGAGGCAGAAGAAGGGAGUGGUCCCCUUCCUGGGGGAUUUUCUGACUGAGUUACACAGAUUGGAUACGGCCAUCCCAGACGAUCUGGAUGGCAACAGCAACAAGAGGAGGAAGGAGGUCCGAAUUCUGCAGGAAAUGCAGCUGCUCCAAGUGGCUGCCAUGAAUUACAGGCUUCGGCCUCUUGAGAAAUUUGUCACCUAUUUCCCAAGAAUGGAGCAGCUCAGUGACAAGGAGAGGUGAGGGCCUAGGGGAUGGGCAGAGGGUGGGAGAAGGCUCUCCAUUCUUUUUUUUUUUUCCAACAUGGUCUGGCUCUGUCGCCCAGGCUGCACUGCAGUGUGACCAUCUCUGCUCACUGCAACGUCUGCCUUCUGGGCUCAAGCCCUUCCUCAGCCUCUCAAGCAGCUGGGACUACUGUGGUACACCAUGUCUCAGGAAGUGGUACAGCAUGUACAGACACCAUGUCCUGUUGUUCUGCUGUUGUUGUUCUGGUACAGAUGGGGUUUCACGAUGUUGUCCAGGCUGGUCUCAAACUCAUGGCCUCAAGCAAUCCAUCCACCUCAGUCUCCCAAAGUACUGACAUUACAGGUGUCAGCCACCCUACCUGGCCUAGAGGAGGCUCUCCCUGUGGCAAGCUGCAGAGAGCCUAUGGCCAUGACUCCACGGCCAGCAUCAAGCCCUGUUGCAUUGGGACCGCUGGGGACGCAGGAUUCCAGCUGGGCAGGCACUGAGAGGGGACCUGAUGUGUGGGUCAUGGUGGCCUCACAGCUGCCUCACUGUUCUGCAGCUACAAGCUGUCCUGCCAGCUGGAGCCCGAAUCACAGUAGGCCAGUAACAUCUUGCAGUGGCUGGGACCCCACCGGGAUGCUGGUCAGAACACCGGCUCUGCACCAUCCUUCACCUAGACCGUGACACCAGGGAACCACAUCUAGGUGGCUGGCAGCUCAGCUGCAUCUGGCCCCUGCUCUUCAUGUAACACCACGUGCUCCUGCUGGCCAGGAUUAGGCUGCGGGACUUUUGCCAGGCAGGCGGGAGACCAUUUUAUGUUUAGUUUCUUUAGUGUAUAAGUAAGGGUUUUUUUCUCAACUUUCAUUAAAAUAAAAUUUUAAAACACUAUUCAAAAUGUUGUAUAGUUGUUGCAAUGAGAAAAGUAACCACGGUGCAGUAACUGUAUGCCAGUCUUCAGGAUUCAUUGUCCAGUAUGUCAAAUUGAGGCUACGGCUGAACAAGUCAUGCAACAGCAUUUAUGCUACACAUGCCAACCAUUUAAUGUUUUCCUUCUUUGUUCUAAUUAAUUAGUGUUAACUCAGUUUAAGGAAAACAAAACAAAAAACAACAAAGCAAAACCCUUAAAAAUCAGAGCAUGCUACCCAAUCUACCACACUUGUUCUACUGACCAGCUACUCUCAAAUUUAAAUUCUAGUUAAAUUCAAGUUUCACUGGGAUACUCUAUCUUCUUGAAGUUUAAAUAUUUAAUGAAUCACUUAUAUGUUUACUGAAGGGCUGGAGAUGGGAGGUAUUUAAGCAAGUGGUAGGGCUGGCCUUCUCCAGAAGUCCUGGGCAGAAGGGAGCUGGCCAUCAGUCUCUAUGAAAUACAGAUAAACUUUUUCCACUAUGGAUCUUCCCAGACUUUCUGACACCUCUCCUCUAAGUGAAUAUUAAGGAAGGAGAGAAUCAUUUGAACCCAGAAUCUAAAAGGAUGUCCCACGACUUAAUUUGAACACAACCCCCAGUGUGUUAUAUGAGAGAAAAAACAAGCCAAAGAAGUCAAUAUUUCAGGGUCUGAAACAUGUAAUACCCCCACAUCAACACCAAAUAAACACCUAAACCCAAUCCUGGAGCCGCAAAGCUCUUAUAAGAAAAGUGGGAGUCUGUAUCUCAGCAAAACUUGUAUCUCUACACGCAGUUUGCAAAAAAGAAAGAAAACAAAAGCAAAAAUUAUCUAUGGCAAGAAACCCUUAGACCAUGCAAUUGAUUUGGCAAUACUUUUUCUUAUUUUUUGUUCUUUUUGGAUGGGACACUAAAAUCACUGCUAACAAACAUGAAUACAAACACAUGGGACUAUACAUCAUUUCAGAGCUUACGCAUGGGGAAGAGGAACAAUGAACCAUUAAAGAAACCAUCCUACAGACUGAGAGAAAGUUCAGCAGAAUCUUACCUGUGAAAGCGGUUGUUAUCUAACAUACAUGAGGAACUAACACUACUCUAACUGGGAAAAUGAACAAAACCUAAUACCCAACCUAAAACUGGGCAAAGAUCCUGAACAGGCACAUCCGAAAAGAAAACAUGAAAUUCACUGACAGGUCAAAGAGAAGCUGCUCAACUUCACUAAUCCUCACACAAAUGUCUAAGUACGAACCACGCUCAGAUGUGUCUCACUCUAAUUAGAAUGAAACUUACCAAAAACAACAGAAAACCCAUACGUUCACAGGCAGUGGCCAAUGCAGAACAGCAGAAAAAGACACUUUUAUACACUAUCGGUGGCAAUGUACAUUACUAUACACAUGAAGCGAAACAGUUGAAGGUGUCUUACACAUUUUACAACUAUCCGUUCACCUAGCAAUCCCACCACUGGUGAUACACAGAAACCACAUAGAAUCUGUUACAUUGCGGAGAUAUCGGCCUUCCUAUGGCAACUGAAGCACUAGUCACAAUGGCGAAGGUAUUCAAUCCACCUACCUGUUUGUGCACAGAUGAAGGGAUAAAGACACUGCAGUACACAAUGGAAUCCUCUUCGGCCACAGAAAUUCAUGAAACCAUGUCAUCUGCAGCAACGUGCAGAACCCUGGAGGACAUGACCUUCAAUGAAAUGAGUCAGGCAGAGAAAGCCAAACACGGCAUGAUUUCAUGCAUGUGAGAAUGAGAUCAACUUCCUCUCUAAACGACUUUAUCCCCUAGAAGUAGAAAGUUCCACAGUGGUGAAGAGAGGCUGUGGGUUGGGAAGUCCUGGCAGGGAUUGGGAAAGGGACACAAUGUUACACUCAGAUGACAGGAAUAAAUUCAGCUAUUCUACUCCACAGCAGGUGUCCAGAGUUAACAGUAUCCUACCAUAUUUUCCAAAAAAGACUGAAAAGAAGCAUUCUGAAUAUUGCAACCAUAGAGAACUAACAAAUAACAACUACACAAGGUAACAGAGGCAGUCAAUGCCUUGCUUUCAUCAUUACACAAGGUACAUAUGCAUGGAUCAAAAUGUCCCACUCUACUCUUUAGUUGUAAACCUUUACUAUAGAGUAAAUUGGUUUUAAGCACAUAGAAAGAAACAAUGCUGAAGUAUAUGUGAGACCAGGAACUUUCCCACAUCUAAUACACU
rnacentral:lncRNA from 10 species